rnacentral:rRNA from 1 species
AACGAACUUACCGUUAAUUGAUUAUGACGUACUUGUACUGAUUGAGAUUUUAACACGAAGUGAGUGGCGAACGGGUGAGUAACACGUGGGUAACCUGCCCAGAAGUAGGGGAUAACACCUGGAAACAGAUGCUAAUACCGUAUAACAGAGAAAACCGCAUGGUUUUCUUUUAAAAGAUGGCUCUGCUAUCACUUCUGGAUGGACCCGCGGCGUAUUAGCUAGUUGGUGAGGUAAAGGCUCACCAAGGCAGUGAUACGUAGCCGACCUGAGAGGGUAAUCGGCCACAUUGGGACUGAGACACGGCCCAGACUCCUACGGGAGGCAGCAGUAGGGAAUCUUCCACAAUGGACGCAAGUCUGAUGGAGCAACGCCGCGUGAGUGAAGAAGGGUUUCGGCUCGUAAAGCUCUGUUGUUAAAGAAGAACGUGGGUAAGAGUAACUGUUUACCCAGUGACGGUAUUUAACCAGAAAGCCACGGCUAACUACGUGCCAGCAGCCGCGGUAAUACGUAGGUGGCAAGCGUUAUCCGGAUUUAUUGGGCGUAAAGCGAGCGCAGGCGGUCUUUUAAGUCUAAUGUGAAAGCCUUCGGCUCAACCGAAGAAGUGCAUUGGAAACUGGGAGACUUGAGUGCAGAAGAGGACAGUGGAACUCCAUGUGUAGCGGUGAAAUGCGUAGAUAUAUGGAAGAACACCAGUGGCGAAGGCGGCUGUCUGGUCUGCAACUGACGCUGAGGCUCGAAAGCAUGGGUAGCGAACAGGAUUAGAUACCCUGGUAGUCCAUGCCGUAAACGAUGAUUACUAAGUGUUGGAGGGUUUCCGCCCUUCAGUGCUGCAGCUAACGCAUUAAGUAAUCCGCCUGGGGAGUACGACCGCAAGGUUGAAACUCAAAAGAAUUGACGGGGGCCCGCACAAGCGGUGGAGCAUGUGGUUUAAUUCGAAGCUACGCGAAGAACCUUAC